AAGGCAAUUGUGAUAGUUUUGUGGCUAAUAAUAUAUUGGGAAUAAGGACCUACACGCUGAGUUACUACUCCAUUGAAUUUUGAAUUCGGUUUUUAUGUUUCAGUCAUUGGUCUUUAAUCUCUCAUCCUAAUUUCAAUUCACUAAGGCUUCUUCUGGGGAUUUACUUGUCCAGUAUUGGUUCAUUUCAAGUUCAUUAGAGUCUGUGGAGGUUGUUUGUUUUGCUGUCUGAUUUUUACAACUUUCCGGGUUGUGUUCGUGGUUAUUUUGAACUCUCAACCGUUGCUGCUUGAUGUCGUUACUAUUGCUGAUCCUCUUCUUCCUCUUCUUGUAUCUACAAAAAACCCAGGUACACAUUCUCGAGGUUGAUUCAAUGUAGUUGUUGAAACGAAGUAUUGAAAUAAAAGGCUCACCUUUACGUCUUGACGUGUGUGCGUGCAAGUUGUCAUAUUAGAAUAGACAUUAGGUGAUUUGCAUUUGCUUAGGCUUAUUUUAAGCACGCAUUUAUAUUGUACAAUUAGGCUGGAAAUUGGAUUGUAUAAUGUGGACUUUAGACCAUCUUGUAUUGUAAAAUUUCAGUUAGAACUUGUUCAAUCUGCAUAGUGAUAUUAGUGUAAUGUAGUCAGAUUCUUAUAUUAAUUAUCCUAUAUAGUUCGUAACAGGUUAUGAAAGCUGAAUGUAGAUCAUGGUAGUAUCAAAAUUAGGCCUAAUAGUUGACUUAGUAAAUGCUAACACUUUAAGUUUCAACCCCAGUGAUUCGGGCUUAGGAUCAAGGAAUAGGCAUUUAAAUUAGUGAAGUAUGUUGAUAGCUCGAUUUAGCCGUUAAUCAUUCC
rnacentral:lncRNA from 1 species